GCAGUCGCCGCGGUAAUACGAAGGGUGCAAGCGUUACUCGGAAUUACUGGGCGUAAAGCGUGCGUAGGUGGUGGUUUAAGUCCGUUGUGAAAGCCCUGGGCUCAACCUGGGAAUUGCAGUGGAUACUGGGUCACUAGAGUGUGGUAGAGGAUAGUGGAAUUUCCGGUGUAGCAGUGAAAUGCGUAGAGAUCGGAAGGAACAUCUGUGGCGAAGGCGACUAUCUGGGCCAACACUGACACUGAGGCACGAAAGCGUGGGGAGCAAACAGGAUUAGAGACCCCUGUAGUCCCUGUCUCUUAUAC
rnacentral:rRNA from 1 species